AUGCAAUGCCAUCUUCAUUUGUUAAUGCACCAGAUCCCAUUAGAACUCCACAGUUAAGCACGCUUAGGCUAGAGUAGUACUAGGAUGGGUGACCGCCUGGGAAGUCCUUGUGUUUUAAACU
rnacentral:rRNA from 1 species